AAGAUGAAGAUGGAUCAGAGUCUG
rnacentral:piRNA from 1 species